rnacentral:lncRNA from 1 species
AAUAAAACAACGGAGUCAGCAAAUGGUCUUUUUCCUUCCCCAGCUUCCUCCCUCCCUGUUUUUUCUCUGUCUUCUUUUCUCUCCUUUCUUUUCUUCCCCCCUUCCCUCACCUUCUCCCUCUCUCUUUCCUUUCUUUUUCCUUUUCUUCUAGGAGGUCAGGGUAAACAUUCAUAACACACCUAUGAGGUCAACCGUAGCGUUCAUUUGGACACUGGCUUUAGGGUGUCAAACCCUUUUUUCUGUGGCUUUUUCAGUUUAAUUUAAGUUUAAGAAUUGUCUCCUGCUAAAGGGAUGUUAAUGCAAUUUCCUAUAUACAUUUUCUAAAGCAAGUUAGAUCUAGGAAAGAUAGUCUGUUUGACAGAAUUAUUUUUAGGUUUUUUUUUUUUUCCUACUUGAAUCUUUUUUUUUCUUUUUUUAAGUAAUGACCCUAGAGACAGACAUAGUCAAAAUGAAAACAUAAAUUCCAAUUUUGUGUCAAUUAUUUUCAAACUAUGUUCCCUCUGGUUUAAAUAAUCUGAUAAGUUGUAAAACAGUUUUCAUAAGUAGGACAGCACCAGUCAUUAUUUUUUCACUGACUGCUCCUGGUCCUAUUGUUUAGGAAGCAAGUCAUUGAUAUAAAAGGCCACUUCUAUGACUUAUUUUUCUGUUUGGUUGGGCUGCCAUGGAAACCGGAAGCAUGUAUUCAAGCCUUUGUUAACAGGAAAGACAUUUUUCAUGCAGUCUUCCUAUUUCAGGCACCGAUAAUACGCUGUCAUGUGUACAGUAACAUUCAAGAUGGAACUGGAGGAGCAGGGAACAUAGAGUGAUGGGGAAGAAAAGAGGGAAUCCCGAGCAGAGAAAACUGGGAAAAGAACUAGAGGUGAGCUAACAUGGCAGGAGUUAGAGCAAACAAAAAGUAGUCUAAUAGGAAUUAGAAAAGAGGGAGGGGGUUGCGACAACAAACUAGAGUUGUGGUCAGAGGAUAAAGAGCAUUUAGGUGUCUGGAGAUAAAUUAGUAAAAAAUGUGAUGCCAGGGCUAGGCUGCAUAUCAGACAGAUUAUCUGGCAGCCAGGUCAAGGAUGGAUUUGAGGCUGAGAAUCCAAAGAAGGGUAACUCAGUUAGGAAGCUGUAAUAGUCCAGUAGUCCAGGUGAGAAAUACUGAGACCUUGAACUCUAUAUGUUGGAGGAGGACUUAAAAAGACAGUACAGAAUAGCUGCAAGAGAGAAGCAAAAUUAUUGCUCACCAAGCUUUAUGCCGACACAGAAGAGCAUUUCACAGUAACUAUCUAACAAAUUAAAAAUCAAUUUUCCUUAAAAUAGAUAAUUUUAAACUAAGAAUAAUAACCACUGGUUUCAAAAAUAUGUUUCUGGUAUAAUAUUUUGUAGGCUCAUGGCCAAGCUUUAGACAUUUCUAGCUCCAUGCCAACUUUCUGCAUUGGUAAAAGUAUCUAUAACUGAGGGCAAGAUACAGUUUUGUAUGUUUACCAGAGGCUAGUUUCACGCCAGAAAAAGGUACAGCAUUAGAAAGAGUUGGGGAGAUUUAACUACACAGAGUAGUUUCAUUGCCCUAAAAAUUCUCUGUGUUUCACUAUUUAUCUCGUCCUCUAUUGAAUUAAUAUUUAAAAGUUACUGGGACAUAUAAUAAUUUUAAACAAGAUAUUUUAAUAUUGGUGAGACAUGUAAAGGUCCUAUUUUUUAAUAUUUUAUAUUUGUUUUUUAUUUAUUGGCAAACUCCUAUUGCUGUCAUUGAUAAUGGUGUCAUUCUGAUUACCUCUACUCAUAAGGGGGUGGCAGUGUGUGAUGUGAGUAAGGAGGAACAUUGUGUGAUUCAGUCAGUGUUGCCUCACCUGGCUGAACACAUUUCUGUCACUACUGGCAUGCAUCAGAAUUCAUCCUGCUGAGCAUUUAAUGUCUUAAUGACGCAGUGAAGAAUCUUUUCAUGGUGAAAGAUGGUACAGGAGCUGGAAAGCCUUUUGUUAAAAUCAGAAAGGACUAUCUGAUAACUGACUGCACUUUUGAUACUAUACUGAACAUCUAGAAUUUUGGAAAAAAUUCUGGUAUAGUUUCUCUGUGGAUCUUAUAUCAUAGUCAAAGUGCUCUCGUUUUUAUCUUAUACCAAAAGAGAAAUGAUUGCCAAUCAUACAUAAUUACAAAAAAACCCAACUAACAAAAAGCUAGGAAACAUAUUAGGACUCAAUAUUGUCAUGAUUAGGACAACUAGCAUAAUAAUAUUACUCAAAUCAAGGAAAGAUGCAUAAUUAUUUUCAGAUCAUGUUAUUCAAAUGUCUUUAAGCUACAUCUGACAAAAGCACAACUCAAACUAACUUAAGAAAUAGGAGAAAGUAUCAAGUGCAAUGGGUCGUUUCCUGUAAUUGAAGGAAAAACUGGACAAACUGCAGCCAAAAAAUGCAUUUAUAAUAAAUACAUGAUCAUCAGGAAUUUGGAGACUGAAUGCAAAAGGGCUUUCUUGAUUGCUAUUACUCUGCUCUCUUCCUGAGGGCAUUUUUCUUUUCCUUACUGACGGGUUCUUCCCCAUGGCCACCAACUUCACCAAGAGUUGUCACAUAUGGUAUCUUUCACCACCAGAGAAGGUCUGGCUAAUUCCUCCAUUUUCAGUAACAAGAAUGCUGGGAAAGGUCUGAUUGGUCUACCUCUUGAACAAUCAAUCAGGUAAGAACCUAGCAGUGUCCACGACAACCAAGUAAUUGGAUCUGGGAAGGAAGCAAUGACCAGAAGAGGGGAGAGUAUAGCAAACAUGGCAUAUGCCCAUUACCUAGGAGUCCUGUGGGAAAGCAGACGGAAGGAAAGGGUGUGUGUUGUUUCAUAACUUAUGUGGGAUCUCAUAGUUCUGCCUCGCAUUCUUUUUUAUAAAAUAGGUAAUAGAUUCAUAAUCACUGAGUUGACUGCAUAAGUGAAUGUGUAAAUGAAAGAGACUGACUUCCAUGCUUUAUGAUUUAUGUCUUUUGAAAUUAAUUUUUAUAUCUCCUCUAUUGUUAUAAGUUUCAAUAACCAUUCUUGGCUAGAGGGCUUGUAAUACUGGCUUUAUGCAUUUCUGUUGUAAUGUGAACUAUACUGGAAUAGUUUACAAACAUUAGGAGUCCUGGAUAUAACAUGGGACUAGCAAGCUCUCCAAUUAAUAAAGUACAGAAGCUUUUGUGUAAGGGUUUGGGCAUCUAUGUUGGCUAUGUAGACAUACUUAUUAUGCUUUGGUUGAUGUUUUGGGCUGUAUUCUGAAGAACUGUUGUUCAAGUAUCUUUUUUUCAGGUAAGUGAAGCAAUAUUCUUCUAAAUGGUAUCCUGAUACUCUAAGGAAGAGUUCAGGCUGCCAGUUCUAGUAUGUCCCAGUCUUCUUGACAUUCCUCUGCCAAAUGGGAAAAGUUUAACGUGGUGAAAUGAAAUGAAAAUGAACUUAAAGAAAAUUCUUCCACGGGAAAAAUUAAAACUCCCCCAAAGAGCAACGUCCAUGGCACAGAGUAGAAGAACGGAGAGAUGUUUGUUUCUGUUGAAGUUUUCACAAUGAGACGACUGCAGCUGUAUCACUGGGAGUCUCAGGUGUAUUCUUAGCAUCCACUGGGGAGACCUCCUCCCUUCCCUCCUCCUAGUUUCCUGAGUCAUUAUUCAUUUGUACAACUGAGAAAAUGCUAAUUGUGUGCUCAUAUACAGAACCCCCAAAGUUUCAUUUUUGUGGAUUUCAUGUCAAUCCCUCACAUUCCUGAAAUGAUUCUUCCAACAGUCUCAUGUCAUUCUUAUGAAAACACUUGCUAUUAUGCCUUUGAAUCCUAGCAGUCUCAGUGUUAAUUAUUACUUUGGUUGUAUCUGCCUCGGUGCUGUGUACCAUAGACAAUAAAUGUAAGCGGGGUCUGUAAUUAUAAUUGAUAUCGUUGUUCAUUACAAAAAUAAUUCCAUUUGAAGAGAUCACAUAAAAAAGGAUUUUAAAAGAAAAAAGCACUGCUAAUUUCCUUAGUAAGAUGUAUGUGAAACAGAAAAAGGGGAGCAAUCGCAAUUCUUGGGCAUUAAGCAUGCUGCUUAUCUGCUUAUUAUGAAAGCAGUUCGACAAUCUUAAAACUGCAUUACUUGAAAACUGAUUAGUGAACGAGGCACAGGUAGUUCCUCAUUAACUUAUAAUUUAAUGACAGAAUUCUGCUGAAAUAUAAUUUUCUCAUUUGGAAAUAAAUUUGUUUUAAAUUACCUUAAUUAUACCUUCCAACUUUAUUUUAAACCUUUUUGCAAGCUAGAUUCUUCUCUUCAAAUGAAGAGGGUAUUUUGCCCUUGGUAACUCAAUCCCGUUAGUUCUUCCUCUGCUAUAAGAACGAUUCUUUGUCUUUGGCCUUGAUUGUUCCAUCUUUGACCAUUCUCACUGCCUGUGAAGGUCUUGGAAUAGUGACUCUUAAACACAGUUUUUUUUUUUUUUCUUGUCUUCUAAUUUAAAAGUAAAAUAUUGAUAUCAGUUUAUUUAAUGGCUCUUCCUGACUUUCAUAUUGCAGAUCCUUGUUCUAGCUUAUCAUGGUUAUAAUUUAUUGGAUUUCAGAACACAAUUCUACCAUUUUCUAGCUGGGACCUUCUGCCAAAUGCUAUCUCAUAUCUAUUUUAUCCUUCUUGCCUAACAGAGGCCCAACAGUGCUCAGGCCAAUAAUAUGUUCAACUGAAAAAAAAAUAUCCAUUUUCCAAUGUCCUUAGCAGCUGGGUGACCAACAUGUGCCACAUGGCAAAUCACAUGUAAGCAGAUGCCUGCUGGAGGGUUCUGGGAAAAUGUGUUUCCUGAUAUAGAUCUCUUUUCCUUUUACUGUAGGGAAUGUAAAUGGAAAGGCUAGAGCUACAGAGGCAUCUCGAUCUAUGAGAAAAAGGCCACGAGAAUCAUAGGGGCCUCACUCAGCCUUGUUAUCCCUGAGCUCCUGAAUCAGUGCCAGAAACCACCUGUGGAGUCCUAAUAAGAUAACUCCUUUUAGAAGAAAAUUCAAGAUCUGGCAACACUGUGCCCAAGCUUCUCUAAGGAAGAGAUUGUCAAAGUGUGGUGCCUGGACCAGCAGCAUUAGCAUCACCUGGGACCAGUUAGAAAUGAAGAUGCUCAGGCUCCAUCCCAGACCUGCUGGGGCUGGGGCCCAACAAUCUGUGUUUUAACAGGCUCCCUGUGUGACUGUGAUACGUGAUGCUCCAAGGUAACAGUGGUACUUGCAAAUCUUAAGUUUCUGGCUGAGCACUUUCAGUGUGGGGGAAAAUACUCUAUAGAACAUCACAGCCAGGGAAGGCAAAAUAUUCUCCAUAGCUUCAUUAAUUAUACUGGGAACAUCAAGUAGCCCCUGGGAAAAUCUCUACAGAUGCACUCCUGAGAGGGAAUAUUACAGGGAUUGGAGAUAAAAAUCCCUAAGGAAAAUUAGUGGCUAGUAACCCACAGAGAAGAGGAAAUUAAAUAUAUUUUAGAUAGGACUGCACAAAGGCUUAAUGCAACUUAAGAUAUGCAGAUUGAUGUGUAAUAUAAAUAUAUUUACUCUUAGCAAAAGCUUCCCUGAAAGCCACUGCCAUUUAUUGCAUGUUUUUAAUUGAGAUUUAGUGCAUCCCAUAAAUUGGUCACUUUUUAUAAAAGGAAUAUAGUUCAUUUGGGGAAACAUAUUUUAAAAAUAUUUUGCAAACACUUAGAAUCUGUUUUUUCUGUAUUAAUUUAUCCAUCCAACUAUCCAUUCAUAUACAGCAAAAUAAAGUAUAUGUCACACAGACAAUGUUCAUUGAACUGAAAUCUCUCCAAGUAUAAAUGAUACUAUAGAAAUAAAUGGGUAACUUGGCUUAUAAAGAGAGAAAGUAGAUUCUGUUUACAACAUACUUGGAAAGAGUAGUUUCUAAAGACAUUAGAAUAUUAAAACUGGUUGGCAUUUUAUGCAUCCCAUUAUAAGAAUUAAAGUCAAUAUUACAUAAGUGUUAGAAAUAAAUCCCUGCCAAUAAUCACUAAUGACACAGAAACCAGGACAAUCAAGACCAUCCUGGUCAAUAUGGUGAAACCCCGUCUCUACUAAAAACACAAAAAUUAGCUGGGCA